AGAGUUUGAUCAUGGCUCAGGAUGAACGCUGGCUGUGUGCCUAAUACAUGCAUGUCGAGCGAAGCACUUCGGUGCUUAGCGGCGAAUGGGUGAGUAACACGUACUUAACCUACCCCCAAGAUUGGGACAACACCUGGAAACGGGUGCUAAUACCAAAUACGUAUUUUUAUCGCAUGAUAGAAAUAUAAAAGGAGCUUCGGCUUCACUAGGGGAUGGGAGUGCGCUACAUUAGUUAGUUGGUAGGGUAAUGGCCUACCAAGACGAUGAUGUAUAGCGGGGCCGAGAGGCUGAUCCGCCACACUGGGACUGAGAUACGGCCCAGACUCCUACGGGAGGCAGCAGUAGGGAAUUUUCCACAAUGAACGAAAGUUUGAUGGAGCGACACAGCGUGCAGGAUGAAGGUCUUCGGAUCGUAAACUGCUGUUAAAAGAGAAGAAAAAAUUUGGGAGGUAAUGCCCAAAUCUUGACGGUACCUUAUCAGAAAGCGACGGCUAACUAUGUGCCAGCAGCCGCGGUAAU
rnacentral:rRNA from 1 species